UACGAAGGUGGCAAGCGUUACUCGGAAUUACUAGGCGUAAAGGGCAGGUAGGUGGUUUGAUAAGUCUGUUGUGAAAGCUCCCGGCUCAACUGGGAGAGGCCAACAGAUACUGUCGGACUUGAGUGUGGGAGAGGAUACUGGAAUUCCCGGUGUAGCGGUGAAAUGCGCAGAGUUCGGGAGGAACACCAAUGGCGAAAGCAGGUAUCUGGACCACUACUGACACUAAGCUGCGAAAGCUAGGGGAGCAAACAGG
rnacentral:rRNA from 1 species